CGCUGGCGGCGUGCCUAAUACAUGCAAGUCGAACGCACUCUCGUUUAGAUUGAAGGAGCUUGCUCCUGAUUGAUAAACAUUUGAGUGAGUGGCGGACGGGUGAGUAACACGUGGGUAACCUGCCCUAAAGUGGGGGAUAACAUUUGGAAACAGAUGCUAAUACCGCAUAAAACCUAACACCGCAUGGUGUAGGGUUGAAAGAUGGUUUCGGCUAUCACUUUAGGAUGGACCCGCGGUGCAUUAGUUAGUUGGUGAGGUAAAGGCUCACCAAGACCGUGAUGCAUAGCCGACCUGAGAGGGUAAUCGGCCACACUGGGACUGAGACACGGCCCAGACUCCUACGGGAGGCAGCAGUAGGGAAUCUUCCACAAUGGACGAAAGUCUGAUGGAGCAACGCCGCGUGAGUGAAGAAGGUUUUCGGAUCGUAAAACUCUGUUGUUGGAGAAGAAUGUAUCUGAUAGUAACUGAUCAGGUAGUGACGGUAUCCAACCAGAAAGCCACGGCUAACUACGUG
rnacentral:rRNA from 1 species